rnacentral:lncRNA from 1 species
AUGGGCUGCUACAGGUUAGGAUUACCUAUUUCUAUCUAUCUAUCCACUCAUCCAUCUCUAUCUGUCUGUCUGUCUAUCUAUCUAUCUAUCUGUCGUGAGAGGGCUAAUUUCUGUCUGCUCUUCAUCUUUUACAGAAUGUCUAAGAUGUUAGCAGAGGCGGUGGAGGAGCGAGUGGCCUUGAAAGCCAAAGUGGCAAAGCUGGAGAGGGACAUCAUCACCCUCAAGGAGGAGAAGGCCAUCAUCCUCCGCAAUUUCAGGGGACGACUGAGGAGAAUCGACACUCUGGAGGAACAACUAAAGGUGGAGAAGGCGGAGUACCAGAGCCUCCUCCGCAGAGUUCUGCACCAGGCUGGGGAGAAACAGAAGCUCCACAAUGAAAAUAAACAACUGAAAAACAACUGGAGAGGUGAGAAAGAUUGAGAAGCAGGGUGGGCUGCUACCGGUUAGGGUUAGGGUUAUAUCGAUCUAUCUCUAUUUAUAUCUAUCUAUCUAUUUCUAUCUAUCUAUCCACUCCUCCAUCCAUCUAUUUUCAAAGAUGUUUGCAGAAAUGGUGGAGGAGCGAGUGGCCUUGAAAGCCGAAGUCCACCAGCUGCAGAGGGAGAACCUCACCCUCAAGGAGGAGAAGGUCAUCAUCCUCAGGAAUUUCAGGGAAUGACUGAGGAGGUGGGAAACGUUUAGACAGCAGCAGCCGUGACUAAGUGAAGACUAGGAAAAUUAUUGCUUUAAACAGCUUAGAACCUGACUUUCUAAGCAAAUGAGAUCUCGUCCAGCCACUCCUGGAAUAAUGAAAUGGACACAGCCAUUUUUGCUGAGUAAGACUCUGUGGUUGCUGGUCGGGAUUCACAUCUCCCCUUCUGAUUCUUCCAGAACCAGAGGUUGUUGGUCCAACUUUACCUCCAACCUUCUGAUUUGUCUAGAGAGGAAGAACUGAGGAAGAACUCCUGUGGGUGACUGAUCUACAGAGACCAGCUGGUGCCACUUAAUAGGGCAGAGUCCAAAAGAAACACAAGGGCAGGCAUUACAAAGCCGGAAGGCAAGAGAGAAACUCUUGAAGAAAGGACACCUCCGAUGCUGCCAUAUGAACCAGCGAGAGACUCCCUGGCAUCCCUGACCACCCUUCAGGAGGAAGGCCCUGGAGCUCCCAGGGAGGAAGUGAACAGUUGGCUGGAUGUAUCCAUGGCUCUCCUCUUGAUGAGGGGCAGAAAUACCUCACUGAAGUGUGCAGAGAUGGCUGGAAGUGAGGGGUCUCCUCUUCUUUUUUCCACCCACCGAGCAGUGAAAGGGCUUCUCCUCUUGGCUGUUGGGCUGCCUUUCCUCCGGCCUUUGAGGCCCCAGUGGAGCUGGAUAGACGACUCUCCUUCCAGGUCACGUCCAGCUCCUUGCAGGGACAUCAGAUUUGGCUCUGAAUAAAUCUCAUCAACUCCCUGAGGGAAAUAAAGAAAAGCAAGAAUGAGAGAUCCGUCUAUGUAAAGGGUGUGUUUGUGGCAUUGGGUUCCUGCAUGGUGGAGGGGGCUGGACUAGAUGACCGUGAAGGGGCCCUUCAUAGCUUCCAUUCUAUGAUUCUCUGAAUGCCUGCAAUACAGGCAGUCCUUGACUCAGCACCAUUCAUUUAGCAGCGGUUGAAAGUUACGCCACAGCUGAAAGACGCAACUUAGAAGCAGGUUAUGAUGGCUUCCCUGC